GACGUAGGGUCCAAGCGUUUGUCCGGAUUUACUGGGCGUAAAGAGCGCGUAGGCGGUCCGUUAAGUGUGAAGUGAAAUCUCCAGAGCUCAACUCGGAAACUGCUUCGCAUACUGGCGGACUUUGAGGAAUGCAGAGGUGAAUAGAAUUCCCGGUGUAGCGGUGAAAUGCGUAGAUAUCGGGAGGAAUACCCAUGGCGAAGGCAGUUCACUGGGCAUUAUCUGACGCUGAGGCGCGAAAGCGUGGGGAGCAAACAGG
rnacentral:rRNA from 1 species